UUAAAAACCUUUUGAACCUUCAGACUACCAAUUAUACGCAUUUUAAACCUUCAGACUACCAUUUACAAGCAUUUUAAAGUUUGAACUUUAUUUACUAAGAGCAUCUCCAAUAGAAAUUCUUCCCAUUAGGAUUCUUAAUAUAUGUGUUAUGUAUAUAUAUAUAUGUAUGUAUAUAUUGUAUAUGUAUAACUAAUUAUGGAACCCCAUAAGUAAGGUUCUUAAAAAAAGGUUUUAAGAAUCUUUAAGAACUUUUAUUUAUGGGGUUUCACAAUAAUUGUGGAUUCCACAAUUAUUUAUGCAGAUAUAAUAUAUACAUACAUAUAUAUAUAUACAUAAUAUAUAUAUUAGAAACCUCAAUGGAGAGAACUUCCAUUGGAGAUGGUCUAACACUUCUAACCUUUAAAUUAACAAUUUUGACAUAUCAGACCUUGAAUUUUUUUUCCAGCCAAAAUAUUGAUGACAUUGAAAUAUGACGUGUUAGUAAGUGAUGAUUGGACAAAAUAACUAGAUAAAUACCGAUGAUUAAAAUUAUAAAUUUCUAACUUUAAAUAUAAAUUUGGUAAAAUUGAAUUUUAAUUUAUUUUUAGUACUCUAACUGAAAAUAAAUUAUAAAUAUAUAUAUUUUUUAAAUAUACAUUUCAUCGAUAUUUAUCUAGUCAUUUUGCCUAAUCAUCAUUUAUUGACACCUCAUAUAUUUCAUGUCAUCCAUAUAUUGACGGGGGAAAUUUUUCCAAGAUUUGAUAUGUUAAAUUUGUUAAUUUGAAGAUUGGAAGUGUUGAUGAUAAAAGUCCAAAGUUUAAAAUGCGUGCAAAUGUGAGUCUGAAAGUUUAAAAUGCGAUUUUCAAAAAAAAAAAACAAGUGAGUGUUUUUAGAGAAGACAUGCAUUUUCCUUAUUUCAAAUUAAUAUGAAUUUUGGAUAUUAACCAUACUUUAAAAUUUUGAGAUUUGAUUAAGGUCGAGAAUUUUUUUUUUGUAAUUUUGUUUUACAGUUACAGUCCAACCAAUUAUCCUCAAUAAAUUUUUAUUAACUAAUAAACUGAAAAUUAAAUAUAAUACUUAAAUUUAUCAAAAAUGCACUACAAAAAAUAAUAAUAACCAAAUAGACAACAACAUAUUCUAAAUAUCAAAUUUUGUGUUUGAAUGAUUCUGCCUGUUUUUGAUCAACAUAAUUAUGUAAUGAUUGUAAAAAAAACGUUGGUCGGUAAAUCAUUUUGUUAUUUACAUGGCGAAAAAGCUAUGAACAUAUGACAUUCACAUUGUGUCAUUUUUUAUUGUAGUAGUUUUCAUUACAUGAUCACAUAAGUAUCUGGAUAUUGUUUUAGGUUUUCUGCAAAGAAAAAACUUUCUAAAUGAUUUUUUUUAAUAUAAUUCCGCAAUAUCGAAAUCUCACAUGUCAUUCUUUGAAAUCGUACUUAACCCUUAAUAUAAGACAUCCAUAUAUUAGUAACCUCAUGAAUUUAUUUAAUCUCUCACAUGUCUGGUUAUUAGUAACUUUAUUUAUUUAAUCUCUCUAUAUCCUCGUGUAAGACAAAUUGCUAAGCAGCGAAAUAAAAUAAAUCCAGGUAGUUCCAUGCUCAGUCUCCGAUCAGACACUAACACGUAACAUUCUAAAUAAUUUCAUCAUUCAGUAAAGCAAAGCUAAUGGCUAAAACUUGUGUAUCUUGAUUCUUUAGUGUAUGCAUAUAUAUAUAUAUGUGCGCGAAUAUGUGAUUAGUACAAUUACAAUAUUCCUUAAGGACCAGGCUUAGCUAAAUCAGCAAAUGGCUCUCAAUGAUCUGGGGAGCCAUCGUCCCUUCUUCAUCGUACGAGUAUUCUUAGUCGCGUCCAGGACAUGACCGAACCGAAGGUCACUGAACUCUUUAAAAUAAUCCUCACUUCCUUAGACUUACCAUUUUAAAUAUUAUUUUUAGUUGAAUCCUCGUGUAAAUCAUAAAUUCCCUAUCGAUAAUUAAGAUAUCUAAACAUCAUAUACAAAUACUUUUUUGCACUAAGUUUCGUUUUUUGUAUUUUGUUUAUAACAAGGAUAGUUUACGGAUCAAACCUCAAUGCAAAAUCCUUAGACGUGUACAAAGUCGGAUAAUCACCAACUCAACUAAAAAAGGUAAGCCAACGUUUAUUGAUUAUAUAAUCAAAUGAAGGUUGCGACAAAAUAGUGUGAUAUCCAGUCUACUCUUCAGCACUAAAUAUGUUUCUUCUAGAACUAUCCGAUAAGAUAUAGAGAAAUUAAAUGAAAAUGGGCCGGGUUUCUGGUUAUACUUGUUUGGAUCUGGGAUUUUUUUGUUGGAUACGUAAAUAACUUACAGUUUUUAGAUUUAAAGGACACUAGGUAAAUGCCUGCGAUUUUGCAGGUUUGAAUGUUUUGUAACAAUAUAUUUAUUAUAAUUUUUUAAAUUAAAAUAUGUUUUUAUCAUUAUGUAUUUUUUGUUAAAUAUUUUUCUAAGAAUAAUUGUUUUAAAAAGGGAUAAAUACGUCUAUUUUAAAUACUUUUUGAUAUUUUUAUUGAUAAUUUUACUAAAAUUAGUUAUAUAUAAUAUUCAUGAUUCAGUUUUAAUAAAAUUACUUAAGUUUUGAAAAUAUAUCAUAUAUACUGAAACUUUUGAAAUAUUUUCUAUAGUUUAGACAUACUUGAUUCCUAAAAAUUAUUUUAUGAAGCAUUAUAUAUAUAUAUAUAUAUAUAUUAUAUAAAUCACAUAUUUAAUUACCAUAAAUAAUUUUGUGCAAUAUAUUUAGGUCGUUUGAAUAAUAAUAAAACUGGUUCUAGAACUUAUUUUCUUACUCAUAAAAUAAAAAAAAAUUGAAAAUCAUUAACAAAUCAAAUUAUAAUAUUAUUUUUCAAACUCUCUAUAUGAUUGACACCUAACAAAAAUUUAAUUAAGGGAUUUCUUAUUUAAUAUAAAAUUAAAUUUCAAAAUAGAUUUUAUAAAUUAAUUUAUAAGCUUGUAUAAAUGACUUAAAACUUCUUAUCAUAAUUUAAAACAUAUGAUGAGCUAAGAUAAAUAAUUUUAUAAAUGUAUUUAUAAUUUUUAUAAAUGAUUUAUAAAGCUUGUAUGAAUUUUAUUAGACAUUAAUAGUUAUUAUAAUACUUUAUAUACAAAUAUAAGUCUUUAUAUGAGAAUAUAAAAUCAUUAUAUCAAUUUUAAUAAAAAACACUGUUUAUUAUUUUAUGUAGUUUACAAAUAUAUAAAAAAUUGAGCAAACAUUAUUAUUCUUUCUAUAGUUUCAACAAAUAGUUACCAUAAAUAAUUAUUUUAAAUAUUAUGUACAUUUUUGCAAGUGAUAUUAACUGUUUAUAAAAUAAAAACAAAUAAAAAUUAGAAUAAAAUAAAUUAAAAUUAAAAUUAUCGAACAAUCAAUUUAUAACAAUAUUUUAAGAUUUCAUAAAUGAUCGACACAAAAGAAAAAAUAUCUUAAGUGACUUCUCAAUUAAUAUAUAGUAGGAUAGUAGGAUGAGAUUUAAAAAAAAAAAGAUUUUAUAAGUUAAUUUAUAAGCUCUUAUAGAUGACUUACAAACUCUUAUGAUAAUUUUUUUUGAUCAACAAACACUUAUGAUAAUUUAAAAUAUACAAUAAGCCAAGAUAAAAAAUUUGAUAAAUGUUUUUAAAGAUGAUUUAUUUAGCAUAUAAUAUGAACUUUAGAAGAUGUUAAUAGUUAUUAUGAUAAUUUAUAUAAAAUAUAAUGCUUUUAAAUAAUAAUAUAAAACUAUUCUAUUGAUUUAUAUAAACUGUUUGUUGUUUAUUAUUUUAUGUAUUUUAAAAAUAUAAAAAAUUUAUCUAUAUUAAAUAAUAUCGACCAAUCAAUUUAUAACAAUUUUUUAGAAUUUCAUAUAUGAUCGACACAUAACAAAAACUCUCUUAAGUCACUUUUCAAUUAAUAUAUUGUAGGAUAGUAGAAUGAGAUUUUAAAAUAAAUUUUAUAAAUUAAUUUGUAAGCUCUCAUAAAUGACAUACAAACUCUUAUAAUAAUUUAAAAUAUACAAUAAGCCAAGAUAAAUAAUUUGAUAAAUGUUCUUAUAGAUGAUUUAUAAAGCAUGUAAUAUGAACUUUAGAAGAUGUUAAUAGUUAUUAUGAUAAUUUACACAAAAUAUAAUUCUUUUAAAUAAGAAUAUAAAAUGGCAAGUGAUAUUACAUACUGUUUAUAUAAAUUAAUAUACAUUAUAUUAAUUUAUAUAAACAGUUUGUUGUUUAUUAUUUUAUGUAUUUUAUAAACAAUUAGUUACCAUAAAUCAUUAUUUGUAAUAUUAUGUAAAUUAUUUGGCAAGUGAUAUUAAUUGGUUAUAGACUUACCUUUUUUAGAUCUAAAUAAAAUAAAUAAAAAUUAAAAAUUAUCGACCAAUCAAAUUAUAACAAUUUUGUAAGAGUUCACAUAUGAUUGGCACGUAAGCAAAAGUCACUAAAGUGAUUUCUUAAUUAAUAUAUAGUAGGAUUUGCUUGCUAUCUAAAUUAAAGUUUUUUUUAUAAUUAAAGUUAACUAUAAAAGAAAUUUAUAUUAGGAAGGGUGGUCCAUAUUAGAUUGUUUUUACCUCUUGGGUCGGAAUAAGAAAUUAAUCCUACUUUGGAAGUAUUUUCUAUUUGGCUUAACUAGUUCAAAUAGUUUAAUUUUACUUAUACUCCCUACUUGGCUUGCUUGAAUCAAAUACUCGUUCAAUCAAGUAAUUAAUUUUCUAUAACUUUUUAUCAAAUCAAUAUAUGAAAAAUUAGGGAUUCCCACCAUGUGUCAUAUACUAAGUAAAACUAAUUUUCCGAACAAAAUUAAAUAAAAAUGAAAAUUAUCAGCUCGUUUUGUCUACACAUUUUUUUUUUAUUAUAGUUAUAUUUUCAUAAGUUAAGUUCUUAUUUUUCCUCUUUUUUUGUUAUUUAUUAGAAAUAUUUUAUUUUUUCUUUUCUUAAUAUUAGUUUUUCUGAAAAUAAAACUUAUACUUUAGUUUUUUUUUGGUAAAACACUUUACUUAAGUUUUACUUUAGCAAUUAUUUUUAUUAAAUUUUAUGUUUAUUUAUUAACAACUAAAAUGAAUAAAUGUUUAUCUGCGAGCGCGAGGGAUACAAAAGAUAUAUGAUGUGCAAGAUGCGGAACCGAUGAGGAAUCGAUAAACCAUAUGUUUUUUGAAUGUCCUCCAAUACUACAGGUAUGGGCUUUCUCAAAGAUACCAUCAAAUCCAGAUAUUUUUCCGACAAGCUCUCUCUCUUCACAAACAUGGAUCAUCUUUUCUGGAGAGUUUUCUCGCAGAUUGAUCAUCAGUUUGCAUGGAUACUAUGACACAUUUGGAAAGGAAGAAAUAAUAAAUUUUUUUAGUAAUCUGGAUAUUAAUCCUAGGAAAAUGCUUAAAUUGGCAGAAACAAAAUCAACACUCUGGGCUGAGGUACAAAUAUUGAAUAAACAGAGGAUAGUACCACACGUUGAGGUUACGACUCUACCGUCAAUUUUAGGAAGAUGGUGUUUCACUUAUGGUUCCUGGAAAGAGAAUGAUAUUUUCUCCGGACAGGGUUGGCUCAGCACUUUAGAAGGAUUUGAUGGACUGAUGGGGGCGAGGAAUGUUCAGGCUAGUCUCUCUCUUCUUCAUGCGGAGAUGGAAACGCUACUCUGGGCAAUGAAAUGUAUGAGAAACUUACGUCAAUUGGUGAAGAUGGUUUUGGAACCAGAAGAAUGACCAGCUUUUACAAGUUAUUUAGAAUAUAUUAAGAUCCUGAAAGAAAGUUUCCUCCAAUGAAAGAUCAUCUAUGUACCAAGGAUGCAAAAUUCAAAGGUUGAUAGCCUAGCACACAAUAUCAGGAAGCAACCGUCUUUCGUCGUUCACUUGGAUCAAGAUCUCUCGUUUUGGUUCACAGAAUCAGUAUGAAUCUAUAUAAUUUGAUGCCAAAAAAAACUAUUUCUCAAUUUUUUUACUCAAUUAUUUAAAAUAAAAAUCUAAAACCUUAUAAGAAUAAUAUAAUUUUAAAAUUCUUUACUCAUAUUUUCUGGUGAGAUCACCCAUUUGUGAGCUUAUACCAGAAGGGAAACUUGGUCGGAAACCUCAAUAUUUACAUAAUUUAAAAUUAUUAGAAAAAAUACAAUCGAUGAAAAUGUUGUUUAAAAUAGGUCCAAAAUUAUUACCAAAAAUUGGCUACUAAUUGUCUGAAACAUAUAAGCUUUCUCUGAAGAAAUAUAAUCAGGCCUACGUAACUUUCUCAAUUUAAUCUUAAACAAAUCUUUUUGAUACCUUUGGAACAACUACUUCUAGUAAUUUACAAACAACCAAAACUUCUAAGCCAAUGUUCCUCCCAAACUUGAAUUUGUCUGAUCCUUUUCAAUUAUAUCUAUAGUUAUAAAUUGAGAUUUGUCAAAUGCACAAUCCUCCAUAGAAUAAUCAAAACCUCAUUGAAGAGAACUCCACUUUUUGAAACAUUGAGUUUGACUUUUGACUUUCUCUCUUCUUCCUCCCCAAUCAUAUAUGAAUUGCAAGAUCCUGAACCACGACCCAUGUUGUUACCUUAUGUCUAGCCCUAUUUUAUUUAGUCUUCAACUCAACAACAUGAGUCAUGGUUCAAGAUUCUGCAGUUCAUGUAUGAUCAGGGAGGAGGUAGAGGGAAGGUCAAAAAUCAAACUUAAUGUUUCAAAGAAUGGGUUUGUCUUCAUCGCGGUUGAUUAUUCUAAGGAAGAUAUGUAUAUGUCAAACCUCAAUUUAUCAUGAUAGAUUGAACUCAAAAUCCAAGUGUGUGAGGAACAAUGGCUUAAAAGCUUUUGCUGUAUGUAAGGUACUAGAAGUAGUUGUCCCAAAAUGAUCCAAUAAAUAAUUUGUCCGAGAUUAAAGUGAGAAGGUUUUAUAGACCAGAGGAUAUUUCUUCAAAGAAGGUUUAUGCUUCGGACAUUCAUAGCCAACUCUUGGUAGCAAUUUCACGCAAAAAUACUAUUUUGUAAAGUAAAUAGGAUCAUUUGAACCUGUUUUGAACAACAUUUUCAUCGAUUGAGAUUUUUUUUUUGUAAUUAUUAAUUAUGUAAAUACUGAGGUUUCCACAAAACUUUUCUUUCUAGUAUAAGCCCACUAAUGGGUAAUUCACCCAAAAAAUAAAUCUGAUUUAAGAGUUUAAACUAUAUUAUGCUUAUGUAAUAAAAUUUUACAUUUUUAUUGUAGAUAGUUGGGUAAAAACGAAAGACAGUUUUCAUAAUAUCAAAUAUUUAAUAUUAUAAAUUUAUAGUGUACAUAAAAAUUAUUAUUUUUAGUUUUUAUAAUAAAGAAACAUAAACUAAUAAAAAUAAUUGUUAAAGUAAACUUAAGUAAAGUGUGUUACCAAAAAACAAAAUCUUAAGUAAAGUAUAAGUUUUAUUUAAAAAAAAUUAAGAAAAUAAAAGAAAAU